rnacentral:rRNA from 1 species
CAGGCUUAACACAUGCAAGUCGAGGGGCAGCAUGGUCUUAGCUUGCUAAGGCCGAUGGCGACCGGCGCACGGGUGAGUAACACGUAUCCAACCUGCCGUCUACUCUUGGACAGCCUUCUGAAAGGAAGAUUAAUACAAGAUGGCAUCAUGAGUCCGCAUGUUCACAUGAUUAAAGGUAUUCCGGUAGACGAUGGGGAUGCGUUCCAUUAGAUAGUAGGCGGGGUAACGGCCCACCUAGUCUUCGAUGGAUAGGGGUUCUGAGAGGAAGGUCCCCCACAUUGGAACUGAGACACGGUCCAAACUCCUACGGGAGGCAGCAGUGAGGAAUAUUGGUCAAUGGGCGAGAGCCUGAACCAGCCAAGUAGCGUGAAGGAUGACUGGCCUAUGGGUUGUAAACUUCUUUUAUAAAGGAAUAAAGUCGGGUAUGGAUACCCGUUUGCAUGUACUUUAUGAAUAAGGAUCGGCUAACUCCGUGCCAGCAGCCGCGGUAAUACGGAGGAUCCGAGCGUUAUCCGGAUUUAUUGGGUUUAAAGGGAGCGUAGAUGGAUGUUUAAGUCAGUUGUGAAAGUUUGCGGCUCAACCGUAAAAUUGCAGUUGAUACUGGAUAUCUUGAGUGCAGUUGAGGCAGGCGGAAUUCGUGGUGUAGCGGUGAAAUGCUUAGAUAUCACGAAGAACUCCGAUUGCGAAGGCAGCCUGCUAAGCUGCAACUGACAUUGAGGCUCGAAAGUGUGGGUAUCAAACAGGAUUAGAUACCCUGGUAGUCCACACGGUAAACGAUGAAUACUCGCUGUUUGCGAUAUACAGCAAGCGGCCAAGCGAAAGCGUUAAGUAUUCCACCUGGGGAGUACGCCGGCAACGGUGAAACUCAAAGGAAUUGACGGGGGCCCGCACAAGCGGAGGAACAUGUGGUUUAAUUCGAUGAUACGCGAGGAACCUUACCCGGGCUUAAAUUGCAGAUGAAUUACGGUGAAAGCCGUAAGCCGCAAGGCAUCUGUGAAGGUGCUGCAUGGUUGUCGUCAGCUCGUGCCGUGAGGUGUCGGCUUAAGUGCCAUAACGAGCGCAACCCUUGUUGUCAGUUACUAACAGGUUCCGCUGAGGACUCUGACAAGACUGCCAUCGUAAGAUGUGAGGAAGGUGGGGAUGACGUCAAAUCAGCACGGCCCUUACGUCCGGGGCUACACACGUGUUACAAUGGGGGGUACAGAGGGCCGCUACCACGCGAGUGGAUGCCAAUCCCCAAAACCUCUCUCAGUUCGGACUGGAGUCUGCAACCCGACUCCACGAAGCUGGAUUCGCUAGUAAUCGCGCAUCAGCCACGGCGCGGUGAAUACGUUCCCGGGCCUUGUACACACCGCCCGUCAAGCCAUGGGAGCCGGGGGUACCUGAAGUGCGUAACCGCGAGGAGCGCCCUAGGGUAAAACUGGUGACUGGGGCUA